UACGGGGGGGGCAAGCGUUGUUCGGAAUUAUUGGGCGUAAAUGGCUCGUAGGCGGUCCGUCGCGUCGGGAGUGAAAACUCGGGGCUCAACCCCGAGCCUGCUUUCGAUACGGGCGGACUAGAGGUAGGUAGGGGAGAACGGAAUUCCUGGUGUAGCGGUGGAAUGCGCAGAUAUCAGGAAGAACACCCGUGGCGAAGGCGGUUCUCUGGGAUGGUACUGACGCUGAGACGCGAAAGCGUGGGGAGCGAACAGG
rnacentral:rRNA from 1 species